UAUAUAUGUGUGUGUGUGUGUGUGUGUGUGUGUGUGUAUGUAUACACAAACACACACAAACAUAUAUG